UUUUCUGAGCCCGGCUUUAUUUAGACUGGAACCGUCUGGACCAAGUGGCAGUGGCUUGGUUGCUUUGGGGGCCUGGCUAAUCGUCGAGGUUGUUCGGUGUUCAACAUUUGACAGAGACCAUGGGUUUCUGCGGAGUUAGUGGGUGUUCUGACCCUCUCAUCUAUUCGUUUUUUUGACAUCACCUCAAAUACUUUCCUUUGCUUUUUGCUUUCCAGCUGGCCCGCAAAACAUAUACAGCAAGCAGUUCACAAAUGCUUGGGAGUCGUGAUAUCGACUUUUCAUUCAAAUUAAAAUUCACCAGGCAAUGAAGAAGGCUGGAUGAGGGUGUGUCGUCUCUUGCUUUGGGGCUGGGGAUGCGGAGAGAACCUACCCAGAGAUCAAGAGCAUUCUUCGUGAAAAUGCGCUGGAUCCAGAGCAAGAGAGCAGACACUGGAGAAAUGCAAAGCUCAGAAGCUAAGAAUGAAAGUGGGCCACAGUGACUGGGGAAGAGGAGGAAGGGCUCUGUGACAGGAGGAGGAAGGGCUCUGUGACAGGAGGAGGAAGAGCAUUUGGAGUUUAGAGCUGGAUUAUAUGUUUUUUAAGAGCAGCAACUCAGUAUUCUGACCCCCCUGCUUGUGGUGCUGAGGAUGGAAACAGAGCUUCAUUGCAUGCUGGGAUCUUCCUAAGUCUCUGCUGGGCUCCAGCUUGU